rnacentral:rRNA from 2 species
CCCCCAGUAGCGGCGAGCGAACGGGGAGGAGCCCAGAGCCUGAAUCAGCAUGUGUGUUAGUGGAAGCGUCUGGAAAGGCGCGCGAUACAGGGUGACAGCCCCGUACACAAAAGCGCAUGUGCUGUGAGCUCGAUGAGUAGGGCGGGACACGUGGUAUCCUGUCUGAAUAUGGGGGGACCAUCCUCCAAGGCUAAAUACUCCUGACUGACCGAUAGUGAACCAGUACCGUGAGGGAAAGGCGAAAAGAACCCCGGCGAGGGGAGUGAAAAAGAACCUGAAACCGU